rnacentral:lncRNA from 1 species
CAAACGGAGAGAGUAGAAGCAGAGGACCGACCUUCUGCGAAACGGUAAAAAAUGUGCAAACAAAAAUAAAGGAAAAUAAAGUCAAAGAAAGGGAAAAAAUCACAAACAGCAUUCCCAGCAUUACAAACGGCCGACACACGAACCGACAUCAGGCCAAACUUAUGCUUCGCUGCAGAAGGUUUUUGAAAUUAUAAAAUAUUGUACACAUCGAAUGGAUGUCUCUACUAAUGACGAGCAACAGCAGAUGACAAUCGGAUCAUAAUAUCAAGCACUAAUGAGAGCAUAGCAUAAACCACUUUUGUUUUGUCAGUUUUGCAGGCUGUCAGGGCAACAAAGUUGACAUAAUUUGAUUUGGAAUCCACUUCCCCUACUCCUGCACAGCUGCCCUUUGAUGGGAUGCCAUUCUCUGUCCACAUUCAGGCCUCAAAAACUUUCUCAAAGUCUAGCCGGCUGGCAAUGGCAGCACUCGACGCGCUGCCAGCCAUUGACAGAGCUUUGAGCAAACCAACAAAUGGACCAAGAGACUGAAGGGAGAAGCGAAGACCUG